rnacentral:tRNA from 6 species
GGGGGUUUAGCUCAGUUGGUAGAGCGCCUGCUUUGCAAGCAGGAUGUCAGCGGUUCAAGUCCGCUAACCUCCA